rnacentral:tRNA from 2 species
GGGGGUAUAGCUCAGUGGUAGAGUGCAUGCUUGGAAUGCAUUAGGUCCUGGGUUCAAUCCCCAAUACCUCCA